AUUGAACGCAGGCGGCAGGCCUAACACAUGCAAGUCGGACGGUAGCACAGAGGAGCUUGCUCCUCGGGUGACGAGUGGCGGACGGGUGAGUAAUGUCUGGGGGUCUGCCCGAUAGAGGGGGAUAACCACUGGAAACGGUGGCUAAUACCGCAUAACGUCGCAAGACCAAAGAGGGGGACCUGCGGGCCUCUCACUAUCGGAUGAACCCAGAUGGGAUUAGCUAGUAGGCGGGGUAACGGCCCACCUAGGCGACGAUUCCUAGCUGGUCUGAGAGGAUGACCAGCCACACGGGAACUGAGACACGGACCAGACUCCUACGGGAGGCAGCAGUGGGGAAUAUUGCACAAUGGGCGCAAGCCUGAUGCAGCCAUGCCGGGUGUAUGAAGAAGGCCUUCGGGUUGUAAAGUACUUUCAGCGGGGAGGAAGGCGAUGUGGUUAAUAACCGCAUUGAUUGACGUUACCCGCAGAAGAAGCACCGGCUAACUCCGUGCCAGCCGCCGCCGUAA
rnacentral:rRNA from 1 species